AUCAACUUUCGAUGGUAGGAUAGAGGCCUGCCAUGGUAGUAACGGGUAACGGGGAAUUAGGGUUCGAUUCCGGAGAGGGAGCCUGAGAAACGGCUACCACAUCCAAGGAAGGCAGCAGGCGCGCAAAUUACCCAAUCCCGACACGGGGAGGUAGUGACAAUAAAUAACAAUACAGGGCCUUUCAGGUCUUGUAAUUGGAAUGAGUACAAUUUAAAUCUCUUAACGAGGAACAAUUGGAGGGCAAGUCUGGUGCCAGCAGCCGCGGUAAUUCCAGCUCCAAUAGCGUAUAUUAAAGUUGUUGCAGUUAAAAAGCUCGUAGUUGAAUUUUAGGCCUGGCCGGGCGGUCCGUCUUUGGCGAGUACUGUCCUGUGUCGGGUCCACCUUCUGGUGAACCAGUAUGUCCUUUAUUGGGUGUGCCGGGGAGCCAGGACCAUUACCUUGAAAAAAUUAGAGUGUUUAAAGCAGGCAUUUGCUUGAAUAGAUUAGCAUGGAAUAAUAGAAUAGGACGUUGUGGUUCUAUUUUGUUGGUUUCUAGGACCACCGUAAUGAUUAAUAGGGAUAGUUGGGGGCAUUAGUAUUCAAUUGUCAGAGGUGAAAUUCUUGGAUUUAUUGAAGACUAACUAUUGCGAAAGCAUUUGCCAAGGAUGUUUUCAUUAAUCAAGAACGAAAGUUAGGGGAUCGAAGACGAUCAGAUACCGUCGUAGUCUUAACCAUAAACUAUGCCGACUAGGAAUCGGGCGACGUUAUUUUCAUGACUCGCUCGGCGCCUUAUGGGAAACCAAAGUGUUUGGGUUC
rnacentral:rRNA from 1 species